AGGUGACUAGUAUAAAUAAAAUGCUUGAUUUCGGCUCAAAAGUUUGUGGUUAAAAUCCACAGUCGCCAA
rnacentral:tRNA from 1 species